UGCACGGGCACGCCUCCGUUUUCGAGGUUAUGUGCGAGCUGAUAUCGAGUUCCAUCAAAUUUUGCCUGUGCCAUAACACCGGUGGCUCUUCUUUGUGAUAACACGUUCGUAUUUCGCGCCAUUAUACCACCGUUGUCGUACACCAUCGAUAAUUCCCGAUUACGUCAGCUGAUUGGACGGAUUAGAAAUGAAAUCAAUAUGGCGUCAAGAACUAUCAAUAUUUUUUAGAUAUUCACUUUUAUUCUGUAAAUCUUUUGCUAUAAUCUCGAUCAAUGGUUCAUGGAAAGAAUUUACAAUUCUUUGUUAGAGUGAAUUUAAGGGUAGAGGAAGGAAAAGAACUUGAGAAAAUGAGGUCUACAUGAUUGUGAAGAGAUUUCGUGGGGGAUGAACGGAAUCUUUUGUUGGAAGAGUCUUAUGUUCUGUACCUUCUGUUCUUAGAUUGAUAGAGUAUCGGUCGAGCUAUUGUUGUUAAAAUUCGUUUCUUGGUUGAGAAUUUAUUAAAUAUAAAUAUAAAACGAUAUAUAGGAAAAUUUAAUAAUUUUAAAACUAGAAUAUAAAAUAAAAUUGUAAUUCCAAUAAUUUCAAUAAAAAGUCGAUUGAUUAAAAAUUGAAUAAACGAACGUAAUCUCGUUUAAUUAUUUCA